UAAUGGGGUGGGACCCAGGAGAUGAGUCUGCUUAUUGUUUACUAAACCCUGAACCCUCCCAUAUUUACGAUGGGAUAUAAUUAAUGGGGGUGUUUGGCCGGCGUUUCCCCCGAAAAAUAAUUAAAAAACGUCGAUGGUUACAUAAGAGGCUCGUCUCCAAAGUAGUGUUUCAAUGGGUUGGGUUGGUUCGAAGGUGGUUCUGUUGAAACUAGAUUAGUGUCUGCGGUUAACCGUUUCCUCGCCUUCCCUCCCACCCCCAAAUUUU
rnacentral:telomerase_RNA from 1 species